AUUGAACGCUGGCGGCGUGCUUAACACAUGCAAGUCGAUCGGUAACAGGUGUAGCAAUACAUGCUGACGAGAGGCGGACGGGUGAGUAAUGCUUGGGAAUCUGCCUAUUAGUGGGGGACAACCCGGGGAAACUCGGGCUAAUACCGCAUACGCUCUACGGAGGAAAGCCGGGGACCGCAAGGCCUGGCGCUAAUAGAUGAGCCCAAGUCGGAUUAGCUAGUUGGUAGGUAACGGCCUACCAAGGCGACAAUCCGUAGCUGGUCUGAGAGGACGACCAGCCACACCGGAACUGAGACACGGUCCGGACUCCUACGGGAGGCAGCAGUGGGGAAUAUUGGACAAUGGGGGCAACCCUGAUCCAGCGACGCCGCGUGGGUGAAGAAGGCCUGCGGGUUGUAAAGCCCUUUCGGUGGGGAAGAAAAGUCUCGACCUAAUACGUCGGGACCUUGACGUAACCCACUAAAGAAGCACCGGCUAACUCUGUGCCAGCCGCCGCCGUAAG
rnacentral:rRNA from 1 species